rnacentral:rRNA from 1 species
GAUGAACGCUGGCGGCAUGCCUUACACAUGCAAGUCGAACGGUAACGCGGGGCAACCUGGCGACGAGUGGCGAACGGGUGAGUAAUGCAUCGGAACGUGCCCAGUAGUGGGGAUAGCCCGGCGAAAGCCGGAUUAAUACUGCAUACGACCUACGGGUGAAAGGGGGGGAUCGCAAGACCUCUCGCUAUUGGAGCGGCCGAUGUCAGAUUAGGUAGUUGGUGGGGUAAAGGCCUACCAAGCCGACGAUCUGUAGCUGGUCUGAGAGGACGACCAGCCACACUGGGACUGAGACACGGCCAGACUCCUACGGGAGGCAGCAGUGGGGAAUUUUGGACAAUGGGCGCAAGCCUGAUCCAGCCAUGCCGCGUGCGGGAAGAAGGCCUUCGGGUUGUAAACCGCUUUUGUCAGGGAAGAAACGCUCUGGGCUAAUACCCUGGGGUAAUGACGGUACCUGAAGAAUAAGCACCGGCUAACUACGUGCCAGCAGCCGCAGUAA